rnacentral:rRNA from 1 species
UACGUAGGGUGCAAGCGUUGUCCGGAAUUAUUGGGCGUAAAGAGCUCGUAGGCGGUUUGUCGCGUCUGCUGUGAAAACCCGAGGCUCAACCUCGGGCCUGCAGUGGGUACGGGCAAACUAGAGUGCGGUAGGGGAGAAUGGAAUUCCUGGUGUAGCGGUGGAAUGCGCAGAUAUCAGGAGGAACACCGGUGGCGAAGGCGGGUCUCUGGGCCGACACUGACGCUGAGGAGCGAAAGCGUGGGGAGCGAACAGG